GGGGAAUAUUGCACAAUGGGGGAAACCCUGAUGCAGCGACGCCGCGUGAGUGAAGAAGUAUUUCGGUAUGUAAAGCUCUAUCAGCAGGGAAGAAAAUGACGGUACCUGACUAAGAAGCCCCGGCUAACUACGUGCCAGCAGCCGCGGCAAUACGUAGGGGGCAAGCGUUAUCCGGAUUUACUGGGUGUAAAGGGAGCGUAGGUGGCAAAUCAAGUCAGAUGUGAAAGCCCGGGGCUCAACUCCGGGAUUGCAUUUGAAACUGGUAUGCUAGAGUGCAGGAGAGGUAAGUGGAAUUCCUAGUGUAGCGGUGAAAUGCGUAGAUAUUAGGAGGAACACCAGUGGCGAAGGCGGCCUACUGGACUGUAACUGACACUGAGGCUCGAAAGCGUGGGGAGCAAAC
rnacentral:rRNA from 1 species